rnacentral:sRNA from 1 species
GCUGGGCACGGUGGCACACGCCUGUAAUCCCAGCAGCUUGGGAGGUUGAGGCAGGAGCAUCAUGAGUUCAAAGCCAGCCUCAGCAAUGGUGAGGUGCUAAGCACUCAGUGAGACCCUGUCUCUA